rnacentral:rRNA from 1 species
CCAGUCGUACCUGCGGAUAAUCAGCCUUUAGGAUGCGACUUUGUGGAGCGUGAGGAGCUAAUCGCCUCCAUGCCUGUAUAUUCGUGUACUUGGGGUGUACUUAUUCGUGUGGUAAGUUAACAUCAAUUUUGGUCGUCAUAAAAUGACUGGAGGAAUGUAGCUUCGAUCUCGUAUUGAAGUGUUAUAGCCUUUGGUAGAUGUGAUUAUCGGGAUUGAGGAUUGCAACGGAUACCCUUCGGGGCUACUUGUCUGAUCUCUGAUCGUUGCUCUGGUGCCGAAAGCGUGCUUACGGUUAUCAAAGUCGAUGGUUAAUAGGUUAGAAUGGGUUAAA